CCCUGGACUCAAAGGACUCGUUAACACGGAUCUGUUUAGUGAGUGACUCAGGAAAAACUUGAGUCUGUAAACUGAAUUGAGUUUGCCAUCUCUACAACGAAAAUGGCAGAAGUGUACCAUUCCAGGCUGUGAAGAGGAUGUUGGCACUUCUCAUAUCCUUCUCAAAGAACCGUACUGUGAAUGGGCAUGGUUGAUGUUUAUCUUUAUCUUUAACAGGAUGCUGAACAACUUCAAUUCAAAGUUGUUAGUGUGCUCUGCACAUUUCACUCCAGACAGUUUCUCACUUUGCUCAACAUUUGAUACUGAAGAGAGGGGAAGCUCCAACUUUAUUGGCAUCUCAACCGCAACCUAGUACAUCAUUUCAGCUCCCACGUAGAAAUGAUGUAGGCUGCCAAACUGAUGAUCGUAGUGUAUCAUCCCAGGGAACACAGUUGUCCUCCUUGAGACUUCACCUCUGAAGCAAAGCUGCAUAUCGUAUGGGGACACUUCGUUCAUAGUUUUUGAAAAAUGCCUCCAGACUGUACUUGUCCUGUCCGACGACACAGAGGACCUUCUUAGCCGUCGACCACCUGUGCCCUCACAGUGUUUCAGGCAGUGCAGCUGAGAGCACAUACAUAUGCCCCUUGAAGAAGGCAUGUCAGGACAGACAUUGAAUCUGCUAUUGUCCACCACUAGAAUGGGGAGCAAGAAGAGACGCUUCACUAUCUGAGCCAGCAGGAGAAUGGCAUUCAUGGCGAGAAGCGAGAAGCGAGCAGACUCACUAGAGCAACAAGCUAGGGGGAAGCUACCACAUGGAGAAGGAGGGUGUUCGAUGAAGCUUGGAUCUUCUGGAGGAAAGUGUUGUGAAGUUGGACUGUAUUGUCACUGACCAUCACCCUCCGAUCCCAAAGUUGUUAAAGCGCUUUCCAGAGCCCAGGGCCUCAACCAGGUUCAACAACACUGAAUGGGCUGCAUAAGGUCCUGAUGAACAAAAAACCUUUCAGAUAUGGAGAAGCUGAGCACACACUACCAGAGGUCAACUGUGAUUUUACAGCGGC